UAGGGAAUCUUCGGCAAUGGGGGCAACCCUGACCGAGCAACGCCGCGUGAGUGAAGAAGUUUUUCGGAUCGUAAAGCUCUGUUGUAAGAGAAGAACGUGUGUGAGAGUGGAAAGUUCACACAGUGACGGUAACUUACCAGAAAGGGACGGCUAACUACGUGCCAGCAGCCGCGGUAAUACGUAGGUCCCGAGCGUUGUCCGGAUUUAUUGGGCGUAAAGAGAGCGCAGGCGGUUUAAUAAGUCUGAAGUUAAAGGCAGUGGCUUAACCAUUGUUCGCUUUGGAAACUGUUAAACUUGAGUGCAGAAGGGGAGAGUGGAAUUCCAUGUGUAGCGGUGAAAUGCGUAGAUAUAUGGAGGAACACCGGUGGCGAAAGCGGCUCUCUGGUCUGUAACUGACGCUGAGGAUCGAAAGCGUGGGGAGCAAACAGG
rnacentral:rRNA from 1 species